rnacentral:tRNA from 1 species
GGAAGGGUGGCAGAGUGGUCGAAUGCACCGGAUUCGAAAUCCGGCAUACGGCUAUACCGUAUCGAGGGUUCGAAUCCCUCCCCUUCCGCCA